UACGUAGGGGGCAAGCGUUGUUCGGAAUUACUGGGCGUAAAGCGUGCGUAGGUGGUUCGUUAAGUCUGAUGUGAAAGCCCUGGGCUCAACCUGGGAAUGGCAUUGGAAACUGGCGACCUAGAGUGCGGUAGAGGGUAGUGGAAUUCCCGGUGUAGCAGUGAAAAUGCGUAGAGAUCGGGAGGAACAUCCGUGGCGAAGGCGACUACCUGGACCAGCACUGACACUGAGGCACGAAAGCGUGGGGAGCAAACAGG
rnacentral:rRNA from 1 species